rnacentral:lncRNA from 1 species
CGGGUCCGACGCAAAUUAAAGUCGUUAAUAAACCCUAAACGACCUCAUUAUGCACUUUUUGACUUUUGAGCUAAGGAACGACUCUUAGGCGACUAAUACUCAUUUUUCACCAUUCUUGAGGCUAACGACAAUUUUUUCACUCCCCGAAUCCAUUUUUCGAUCCGUAGAACGUAAUAAAAUGAGUGAAUAUUGAUUGGAGGGGGGGGGGGGGGUUGUUGUAGAUUCUAUGGGGGAAACAACCCUAAAUUGGAUAAUUGAAAUCAUAGGUUUGACUUAGGGUUCAUAGAAUUGUUAGUAAUUCGAGUAAUUAAUGAUUGUUAAUUGAUUCUCGUAUCAUAUUGAUUGUUUGUAAAUCAAGAACAAGCGAAACGAAUUCGAAAAGAAAAUGAUCAAGUUUUUAGGAUUUCAAGCUUGAAAGGGAAGGAUCAAGUUUCUUAGGGUUUCAAGCUUGUUUCGAGGUAGGUGAUGGUUGUGAUUCUAUGAUUGUGUGAUGUAUGUUUGUUCUUGCGUCAUUAUGAUACUUGUAUAUGUAUGAAUGUUGCAAUGUUGAUCACACUUGUUGUAAAUGAGAUAGAGAAUUGGUGAAUGCCAUGAAAUCAUGACUUAAAUGUAUGAUCUUGAUGAUAUACUUGUGAUUGUGAUUGUGGUGUGUGAAUGAGAUCGGUUGCUACGUUUCGGCAUAACUAACUUGGAUCGAUUGUCACGUUCCGACAUAAAAAUGGGAUCGAUUGCCACGUUCCGGCAUAAAUAUGGGAUCGGUUGCCAAGUUUCGACAUGCUAACCUUUUGGAUUUGGGUUCCAUGAGAGGACCAAUGAUUUGACAUAAAAUGAGAAGUUCAUUGUGUGUAAAUGUUGAUGAUAUUGUAUAUGUUGAUAUGUAUGCAUGUGAGUAUAAUGUUGUUUGACGUGUUUAUGUUGCACUAGUAGGAUAGCCGUGUAAUCCUAUCAGUACACUGUGAUUGUGUACUGAUUCUGCACUUGCUCUUAUUUUUUUUGUUGAGUACAAGACAUUUUCAAGCGGCUAUUGACAUACCUCGCUUAAGAGAUCAAUGAUCGUUUGAAUUCAAGGGUGAGCCAAUUCUUCUGGGCUGUCAUGAGUUCUCUUUCGUCUAUGUCCACCAUUUCCGGACUUAGACAUUUGUUUUAGUUAGUUCAUUAGUGUGGGGUUGUAUCCCUUCUUGUUUAGAUUUGGAUCGUUGUUAGAUGUUUUGGUACAUUGACUUUCAGGUUCUAGGUUAUUCUUUUGCAUUGUUAGUUAUUAUUGUGAGAUUUUUGUUAGAGUUUAUGGAAACUUUAUUUUUAUUUCCUUGGUGUUUGAUUUAAAUGUCUUAGUUUUUAGAUUAUUUGCUUGGUUGGGUUGUAGUAGUGGUUCUCCCACUGGAGAGUUAGUGUGGGUGUCAAUCACGACGGUCUGGGUCGUGAUAUUACCCCCGUCAAUUACACUAAUUACUUGCUGACCAAGUAAUUACAUGUUCAACCAAACAGGACAGACAACAUAAUUACACCCAAUUACACCAAAUCCAAUUACCAGAGUGGCUUUCCAAACAGGCCUUAAGUUUUCUCCCAAAUAUCGUACGCGUUUGGACAUGAUUUGGUUGAAAUUUUAAAAAAAAAAAGAACUUAAAAGUUGAAUUUGUGUUUGAAUAUGAAAACAAAGUUGAAAUUUUAUCAUUAAAAACUUGAAAAACUUACCAAAUCUAUAUUUCAAACUUCAAAUUCUAUAUUUCAAGUUUGAAAUUGAAAUGAUAUGGAAAAUAAUAAACCAACAAUUAUUUGAAAUGAUCUCCUAAUAUUAUUUUGAGUUUUGGAAUCAAAAUCUAUGAUCAAACGAUGUUUGGUAUGCAAGAAUUUUCUUUGAGAAAGC